AGUAAAAGUCGUAACAAGGUUUCCGUAGGUGAACCUGCGGAAGGAUCAUUAACGCAUCUCUGGCGGCGAGGGCGAGCCCAGCUCCGGACCGAAAGGCCGUGCAGCGGGCUUAUCCCGGACCGUCGAACCUUUGCAAACCCACCGUGCACUUUUGUCGGCAAAGGGGCCUUUACGGGCCCCCGAGCCGGAUCACAAACACUUUGUUAAACGAAUGCAAGCGGACCUCGAGCCGCCUAAACUUUAACAACUUUCAACAACGGAUCUCUUGGCUCUCGCAUCGAUGAAGAACGCAGCGAAAUGCGAUAAGUAAUGUGAAUUGCAGAAUUCAGUGAAUCAUCGAAUCUUUGAACGCACCUUGCGCUCCUUGGUAUUCCGAGGAGCAUGCCUGUUUGAGUGUCUUGAAGUCAUCAACCCCUCCCGUUUCGUGCGGCGAGGUGCGUUGGAAGUGGGGGCCUGCGGUCGCGAGCCCGCUCCCCUUAAAUGCAUUAGUGAGGUUCGGCUCUCGGACUCGACGUGAUAAGUCUAUCUACGUCGCGGCCGGCGCUCUGUCCUUUCUCCGGAAGGGAGGGACCUUGCUUCCAACCGUCUUCGGACAAACUCGUCGCGCUUCACGGCGUGGCGAACGUUUUGAACUCGACCUCAAAUCAGGCGGGACUACCCGC
rnacentral:rRNA from 1 species